rnacentral:sRNA from 1 species
AUAAAGAUUUAGAAAACGAUUGAGGUUCAGUGUCCUGUAGUAGAAACCUUGUUUAGCAUACGAAAAGCCCUAGACUCUGUCCUCAGUACUGGAAAAAAAAGAAGUGGGAGUGGAAGAAAGUAGAAUGCUUGGAAACACCUCGGGUACCAGAGGCCCAAAGUUCUAUUCUUGGACAUUCCAACCACGCCUUCAGCCGCCUUGGCUCUCUCCAAAGAACCUGACACCACUCACAGGCGCUUUCCUGAAUGGGCGGGGUCGCAGUCCAUGUAGGACAGCGAUAGGCUGCCAGAGACGUCAUUCUCCGUUAGUUUCGGUCAAUCUGCCAAUAGACAAGGAACCUGCCCCUUAGGGUUCGGUUCGGUUCGGCUAAAGGUCCAAGGUACUCGGCGAGGAAACCAGCUCUCCUGGUUGGUCCAGGGUCUCACUCUGGACCACAGUUUGGGGUCAGCCUGGACUACAUAAUGACCUUACUAUUCACUCUGUAGCCUAGUGUGGCCUCAAACUGAUGCAUGGGGUGCCCACCUGCUCAGUCCCUUACCUUUUACCACCCUUUCAGCCCAACACAUUUGGAUGCCAACCUGCCAUGACUCUGGAUGAGGUCUGUGACAUCACAUACUCGUUCAUGGUGUUCCCCGAAGGACACCAGCCCGAUGGAGAGAGUCUGCAGGAACGGCCGGAUGGCAGGUGUGAACUGUGAAGGGAUGCCUGUGUCACCCAACUACCCAGGAGAGGGAUGAGGAUGGGGCACGACUUGGGACAGAGGAACCUCUCCCUGGGACUGAUAAGGAUACAUGGACUGCAGGGAAGCUGCCCCGCUGAGUGCUUGCUUAGCAUUCACUAGACCCUGGGUUUGACUGUAAGCGCCACCAGACAGACAAGACUCAUAACUGAACCAGGACACAAUGCCCGCUCUGACUGAGCCAUGCAAUAUCUCUGGUUGCUCUGCCACUGUUUCUUCAGCCUUUUAGAUCCAGAGAAGCGAGAUGGUAACUCUCUCCUUUCUCCAAGGACGGUGUGAAGGUGCAAAGCCAACUUAAAGGUUCUCAUGUUUCGGAAGUCGCCCCAGUGUUGCUGGGUUGACGAAGGUCGAUUUGAGUCAAUGAGUAGAGGGAUGGAUUGACUGAGAGAGGAAGGAGCUCUUGCAGUUACCGGGUGCCUCUUCCGCCUACCUUUUGCACGCUUAUACUUUAUUUUGAAAAAGCAGUUAAAAACCCUCCCACGUUAUUCUUUUAAGAGGGCAGAAGACAUGAAAAACAGCGCUUGAACCGAAGCUGAAAACACUAAGGGCAUAGCUGUUGCUCUUGGUCACACAGAGAAUAAGGAACCGGAGCGAGAAUCCUAUUCCUACAGACAAGCAAGCAUCUCGAACACUUGUCCCAAGACCGGACUGGGAUAGCUGGUAGUCCUUACGUCUCGGUGGGGCAUUCUACUCUCACAUCACCCCCCACGCACCACGGCAGUGGGUUAAUCCACAGAUCUCUCCCCCACGUGGAAGUGGGUCAGUCCACUCAGUCCCCCGUCCCCCGCAGGAUGUGUGGGAUAUCUUCCAACCUGCUACCGGCUCACCUUUGACCUUGCCUUUUCGCCACCGCCUGCGACUGCGGUUCUUCGAUCCUUCUUUGGCCUGCUUGGAGGCCUGGGCCACCACGGGCGCCGAUUCCACGGCCGGCUCCAUCAAUUCUUUCCAGUCCCGGCGCGGGGCCCAGUUCCAGUGAUCAAGUCCCUCUCUUAGAGUCAAUCUUAGUUACACACCACCGCCAGGCCCCUAAACCAUCCAAUCCUGGGCAGGCUCCUAGCUGAGCUCCGCCUUUAAUGGGCGGAGCCGAAGGUUUUGCCCCGCCCAUUCGCUCAGGUUAAAGGAACCGCGCAAUCCACCACAACGACCAAAAAAAAAAAAAAAAAAAAAGCAACCCUGGAGGCGGCGAAAAGUGUCCUCACAGAAGGAAUGGUGAGGAGUCGCACCAGAGACCCCCCCCCAACAUAGAAUCCUCGGUCUUCUCAUUGAAGGUGCUGACACUCGCUACCCCACUCAUCUUUCCUUGAACUUGGCCCGCCCACUUGCCCCAGGAGCUGGGCGGGCGGGGAUCACCUGGGGGCGUGGCCGCGCUUGGUAGCCCUUGGGAAGCCCCGCCUUUUCUCCGGCCCCUCACGUGUUCGUCCCUGCUGUGUUUUUUCAGACAGGGUCCCAUAUUGUAGUUGAGGCUGCUUCGACCUCUCAGCAAAUUACUUUCCGGUCUCACAUCUUCUAUCCUCCCUCUCUAGAAUAAAAGGGAUGCGGGGCGGUGAAGGAGGAAGACUGCAACCCUAAGGCCUAGCAGCUUGCAGGCCUCAGGCUUGACCUACUGAAAGGAGCGACUGGGCUCUGUGGCGUUACCUGGCAUUGCUUCAGAGAGGCAGCAGGAAGAACCGCCGCACCUCAGCAGCACCUCACUAUGCUGUUUCCAUUCAGCCUUGACCUCCCCACAGACAGAAGUCUGUGUUCUGCAACCCUAUCCAGGCCCCUCUCCCAAGCUUCUAAAUGCCAUGAAACCCGGUCACUCCACGACGCUGAGGCCCUGUCGAGGCACUUGGCAGAGGGAAGACCUUCUCGAAGCAGAGGCUGUGAAUGUUCCAGAUGUUGAGCUAGUCUAUACCACGCUUGCCCAGUCUGGGUGAGUGGUCUCUCCCCCCAGAGAUGGGAAUCUCAUGUAGCCCAGGCUGGCCUCAAGCUACCAAUCCUCCUGUCUUCAUUAACCAAAGUCUGGGACCACAGGCAGUCUCUGAUUCAGUGCUUCACCUGCCUUUUAGACCCCGGACAGAAGGCAUGUAAGAAGAGUGACAAGUGCAGAGGACACAGUGGCAGGUGCCAGAGGCUGAUGUUCAACACUUCCCCACCCCGAACUGAAGUCUACUCUGGUCCUCUCCCGGCAUGCACUGUGAGAAGCACUAAAGGUCGAUCCUGGCAGUACUCCCAGUCCACUUCAAAGGAGAUGAACGUUGAAGAACUUCCAGAGUUCACUUCAAAUGUGGCCAGCAGCCACUGGGCAGAAAACUGCCCCUUGAUUCAGCUGCAGACAGAAUGCAGGGAAGUCAACUGCUGAGCUUUGACAAGACACGGAACAGGAAUAUUGGUGGGGGAAAGGACCAGCUUGAUUCACCAAUUGCCGGCUUUUGGGCAUUUCCAGGGGACCUGACUGUCUGAGAAUGGGGGCGCCAGUCACUUGGACACUCACAGACACCUGAGGCGGCUCUGCAAGAUCAAACAGCUUGUUCCAGCGCUGUGAGUCCCGUGUGUGGCCCUCACACGACUAUGCCCCACACUUUCUCAGUGACACUUCCGCACAGCUGGGGUUUGCAUUCCAAUUGCCAUGACUGGUGCAACAGGAACGGCGCCCUGACUGUCAGCACAAACCCUUUCCCUGUAGGAUGGUGGCCGGGACUCGCAUCCCUUUCCAGCCGUGUAAGCUUGCUCUUUGGCUGGGAGUCAGUGAGAGACAGGCCCAUGUGCUGCUGCUUCCUGCUUUACACCAGGACAGGCCUCUUGUGAGGACCUUCUUUGUCUUACUUUGGGUCUCAUCGCUGUGAAGAGACACCAUGACCAAGGCAAUUCUCAUAAAGGACAACCUUUACUUGGGGCUGGCUUACAGGUUCAGAGGUUCAGUCUGUUAUCAUCAUGGUGGGAGCAUGGCAGUGUGCAGCCCGGCCUGGUGCUGGUGGAGGAAGUGAGAGUACUCCGUCCUGAUCCAAGGCAGCCAGGAGAGGAGACUGACACAGGGUGGAAACAGAAAGCUGUGGAUCUCAUCAAAACAGACAAACUCAGAGUUGAGCAGGGGAGGUUUCUGAGAACCUUGGCCACUGACCCAAAAAGAGGGAAGAAGAGAGCCUGACCAGCUACUGCCUUCCCUGCCAGACGGAGAAGCCUGGACAAGAAGUGUUCAGCACCUGACCACUGACAGGCCGGAAGCAUUGUGAACCCCAAAAAAACACCCAGGAGCCAAUUCCAAUGCAAUCACACUAGGAUCUUUAUCCAAGCUCGAGUGUGGGCCUCACGACCAUCUCUGAUACAUCAGGACAGGAGGAUGAAGCCCUGAGCCCUCAGAGGGACACGGUUUUAUGGGAAACGGCGAGCAAGCGAGGGGGUUUCCAGCCUGACAGGCAUCUAAUUGAAUGACUAUUGUAAGCCAACAGAAAAUCUCUCCAGAUAGACAGCGCAGCAAUCCCAUGAAUGAUACAUCACAGCCAUCAAGUCAAAACUCUCCUGCUAAGGGACCAGCGUACCCCUUCUUCAAUGGACUCAGAUGUACUGCCCUCUGACAAUGACCCUCCUCAUCAGGAAACAGAUAAGAAAAAAUUGACACCCCUGCCCCGCAUUUUUUAUACCGCCUUAGAGUUUGGAAUGAAGUUUCAUGCUAAAAUACUGUAUUUCCCUUGUGGCCAUGCUAGGCACCCCAAACAGGGAGGGUACUGCUGCAGUGUCCUCCCAAGGCCACUGCUCCAGCCUGACUUUAUCACCUGAUCCAAAGCUGCCAGCCUCCAAGCAAUCACUCAUGUCCCCAGCGCCCGUUACCUUCCAAUCACCUUCCUAUGAAUUGGUACUUCAUAAAAAAGGACUGCAGACUUCAUAAGAAAUUAGAUUCUGCAUGCGCACACAUUUUAUUUCCUACUUUAUGUUUUCCACAUUCACCCAUGCUCUAGGCUGAUCAGAUCUUCCUGCUACAGAUUCCAAUUCUCAAGUCUUGAGGCAGUAGAAAGAGUUAUCCACAUAGUGUGGACCUGAGAGGAGUCUACUGAUCGCUGAACUUUUCAUGAGUUCCUGAAGAUCAGUGUUUCGGUCUGUUUCAGUUGGCCAUCCCCAUGUACAGCGUGAAGAGUCACAUUUCCUCUGAUGCCCCAUCAGUCCCUACAAAAUCGAGCUCUACCUCAGCUGCAGCAUUGUCCUCUGGGCUUUUAUUAUUGCUUAUACCAUCAGUGUAUCUACUGUGUGCGAGCACGUGUGUGUGUGUGUGUGUGUGUGUGUAGAGAGAGAGACAGAGAGAGACAGAGAGACAGAGACAGAGAGAGACAGACAGAGACAGACAGACAGACACACACACACACACAGGGGUAGGGGAGGACAGAAAGAGCAUUAUUAUGUAGUAUGAAACCAUAUGUAGAGGUCAUGAGGCUUGCAGGAGUCUGUUCUCUCAUUCCACUACAUGGGUCCCAGAGGCUAAACUCAAGGUCAUCAGGUUGGCAACUUUACCUGCUGAACCAUCUUGGUAGGGUAGCAGCUUGUUUGAAAGGAGGAAAUUUGCAUAGAAAGGAUUUGCCUCCUUUGUGAACUCAGACAUCUAUACAAACAUCCUCACUCCCAGCCAGAAUAUGCUUUGGUAAACAACUAUGAAAAUGUCAUUGAACCUAUCCAAAAAUGUACAAAUAUCUCUUCUGAAAAAAAUUACCUCUCCCAACCCACUGCCUCACUAUCCCUGCUUGGUGGAAUGUCUACUUUGCAAACUGAGAACUGAACAAAAGUCACAUUCCCUGGGUUGGAACUGUGACUCAUCAUAGAGUCCUUGCCUAGAAUCCCUCAGUGAGGGGCUGUCAAUGUGAAUCAAAGUAGAGAGAAAGACAAAGGGCAUAAGUAAAGCUAUGGUACACUUGAUACACAUCUGCUCCCGCCAACUUUAUGUUUUCAAAGAUUUGAAAUUGUGGAGCUGGAGAGAUGGCUCAGUGGUUAAGAACACUGGCUGCUCGGGGCUGAGGAUUUAGC